rnacentral:tRNA from 2 species
GCGCCUCUAGCUCAGCUGGUAGAGCAGUAGACUCUUAAUCUAUUUGUCCAGGGUUCGAAUCCCUGGAGGCGCA